rnacentral:lncRNA from 1 species
AUGAGGUCUGCCACAAGAACCUGCAUCACCUGUUUGAUUUUGACAAGUUCAUACAAUGCCUCCUUAACUUUGAGGGAAUUAGGACUGGCCAAAAUCUCGCAAAGGAAGCCAGAUUCAGGAUAAACUUCUGAUGAAUGUACGACUAGACGGACCAAUGCUGUCAAGAGGUUUGCUCAAUCUUAAGAAUUGGUCACCAGCUUUCCAAUGCAAACUGCAAAGACUGAG